UUCGUAUUACAGUUGACUUCGUCGUCACUGGUGCUGGUGAUGGUAUUAUUAAUAUUAUAAAUUUUCACAUCAUCUUAAGGACAAAAAGAAAUUGACAUCCACAUAGUGUUGGUUAAACCUUAAUGUAUCGCUCAAGUACCGAGCGGCUUCGAAACAAGGAACCGAAGCGCUGCUGCUCUGUGACUACUACUCACUUCUGUCGCGUGUGUUACCGGGCUACCAGGGUUUAGGAUUCAGUGCUCUCCCGAACACUCUUCUUGUGGUUAAGAUGAAGCAGCUCUACUGAAGCUCCUCCCAAGGUCUAUUCCGAACACACCGUAAGAUAGGAAGAGAAUGCGGCGUCUUACCUAACCAUGACCAGAGGGGGGAACCUUUCACUACCCCUGUUCUUCCGUGCUAAGCGACUCGCUGGCAUCUCAUAUUCCACACAGCGUCUGCCGAUAAAGCGAGUGAAUGGCGACGUCUCCACCUGAGGGAUGAAGGUCGUGGUGGGAACCUUGCCGGCGCCUGGGAGUCUAAUCAGAGGCGGAAACUCAUCAGCGGGCAGCUCCUCCAGAGGCUCCUCAAGCCGCCGCGCGAGUGGGGACGUGCUCGCGCUCUCGGCUGAUUCUCGCACCUUUGCAGUCUGUAUGUGCUCUUUUUUUUCGCGUUUUCCGAGCCACGGUGCCUGAGGGAGAUUGAGUGUUUAUUCCGCGAACUCCGUGAGGGCGUGUAGUGUUGCGUGGUGUCGGGUGGAAGAUGCUCACUUGUCUUCCACCCACGCACGCCACCACCUGCCUCACCUUUGUGCACUUUGCCACACAGACAUUCCAAUUACACUUACAAAUUGUUUGAGGACGAGGGUGGCUUGGUGGCUUUGUAGUGCUUGAAGUAAUAUUAAUCCUCCCACCGGUACCCCUCCCUCCCUCCCUCCCUCCCUCCCUUCCUCCCUCCGCCCUCCGUCACUCCUUCCUGAUAUCUUCUAUAACGUGCGGUUCAUGAAUAUAUUUGAAGGCACAAGGGCGGAUCUCUCUCCCGGGAAAUGGCGGGGCGUCAGUCAUCAGGUAACAGUCAAUACUGGGAUGAGGUGUAGGAUCGCUCGCCUCGUCUCGCCUCGCCGGCCUGCUUUCGUCUUCCUUUCGUCUUCGAGUCUUCCUAUGUGACUUUGUGAGAGGGAAGAUAGAUUUCACCUUCUCUUCACUUGAUAGUGUUGCAGGAACGGUGCCUAGUUUUCCUUUAGAUUGCCACCAUUCAGAACAGCAGUGAAUGGUGGCUUGUGAUGUAAGCAGGAGUUUUCAGUGUACUUGACUGGAAUUCGGUGUUUAGUGUAAUUUACUAAUGAGUUACCAUAAAAGUAUAAUAUAGACGUACACGUUAUUCUAGGGUAGUUAGUGGCUAUCAUGCUGGAGCAGAUGAUGGCAAAAUAGUUUGUUCAAUCUAAUUUAGUGGAAGAUUGUGUUCCCAUUAUCUCAAAAUUUUUGAAGUAUAACCCUUAAUAAGAAUAUAUAAACGUACAUGUUAGUUAAGUAGCUUGUUCAAGGUUAUUUAGAGAGACAGACUGACAUAUUUUCAUUUGAGUUUUUUGAACGAGGAACGUGAAGAAUAGAGGUUGCUCAGCUUGACUCAGCAACACUCGCUGGCCACUCGUCUCGCGGGAAACUGUGUCUCAGGCAAAGAUCAAGACAAACUUUCCUUUCUGCAUCCACUCUUUCCUUCAUGACUGCACAAGAUUUCCGGCACUUUCCUUAGUUGAAUGUUUUCGCGUCAUGAUAGUGGAAAUUGUGUCCACACCCCGAAUCUUGCAGCCUCAGAGGGCAACGCACCGUGCUCAUGAUAAUGCUAAUCUUGGCAGAAUUACGCGAGUGGCAUUACUAAUUAUACGCCGGGUGAAAUUUCUGGACAGUCGUAUCUCCGUGAAAGUGGAGUCGUUCAAAAAGCGUCGUUAAAUUUGCUUCGCUGAUUGUCCUUAGGAACGCGUGGCUGUCUACUGUGCCGGUUCGUGGCCAUUUCUUGAUGAGAAAGAACUCUUUCCUAACACCUUGCGUACGGUCUCUUUUGUUGUUCAUCGCCGAUUCUCCCUCACCGACCACUGCAGCAAGCAAUAAGUACCAGUGUUUUUUUUCUAAUUGCUUAUGGAGGGCAAUGGGUGUAGCUGUGGUAACUAGGAUAAACCAUAAGGUGAAAUAAAUGGGAAAAAAGAACGGGCAAUAGGUUCAAGCCCAAGGAACCUGUGAUAAAACAACAUGAUAAGCCUUUUCUUCAGUUUAACAUAAGGGCUUCCACGCUCAGGAAUUAAAGACAGAGAGAGAUCUUCAAAUGUUAAUAGUCCGUUGAUAUGGAGCGAAGCGUCACAGUAAUACUAAUGUAACUGCAUCGCCUUGUCAUUUAUUGUAUCCAAAAGACCAGUUGUAUUAACUAUAUAUUCGAGCAUUAAAAAAAUUUCGCGCAUAUCUUCAAUGUUAUAAAAUGGAGAUAUCUUUGAUUAAAAUCUUCACAUUUCUGAGUUUACUUAGCAUUUCUUAUUUAUGCUCCUUGAGAGAGGCGAGCGAGUCACAAAUAUAUUUACGGAACAAAAUGUGUUUUCACAGGGAAGGAGAACUAAGAGGAUCCUGAUAUUAAGAAAUUAAUAAGGACUCUGAAGGGGACCUGACAUUGUUGUUGGAAGUGACUGGGUAGUAGGAAGAAGGAAAAAGGCGGGAGGGUUGCCUGCGCCAGAGUUUACCGCUGAAGAAGAUAAAAGAAUGAAGAUAUUGGUAAACUCCAGCGUGAGGGAGACGGGAAGGUGUGAAGGGGAGGCAGACGUGAAGG